GCUGGCUAGAAGUCCGAUGCGGGUUCUGUCCAAUGGACAGCGCCACUCUGCUGAGGGCGGGACGGCGCGGAGCCUGCAGAGCUGGUGGUGAAGGCGCGUGGCCGAGGCAGGCGAGAGUGGACGCUGCAGGAUGGUAAAACAUAAGAGAAAAUGUCCCAAAGGGACAGAAAAGACGAGUAAAAAGCAAAAGAUAACGUCAUCAGAAGAGACACUGCAGGCUUCUGACGCCGGGCUGGGCAAGGAGAUGACCAGCCUCAAGGUAAUCAUGUGUACACCUUCAUGGUGCUUGUGUUAAGAUCAGAGGACAACUCGUGGAAUUCAGUUCUCUACUUCUACUAAUAUGGGAUUGAACUUGAGUCGUCAG